rnacentral:rRNA from 1 species
GAUGAACGCUAGCGGCAGGCCUAAUACAUGCAAGUCGAACGGUAAGCUUUGUAGCAAUAUGAAGCCUAGAGUGACGUAAGGGUGCGUAACACGUAUGCAAUCUACCCUCAACAGGAGUAUAGCUCGGGGAAACUCGGAUUAACACUCCAUAAUAUUACGAAGUGGCAUCACUUUGUGAUUAAAACUGCGGUGGUUGAGGAUGAGCAUGCGUCUGAUUAGUUAGUUGGUGAGGUAACGGCUCACCAAGACGAUGAUCAGUAGGGGAACUGAGAGGUUGAUCCCCCANACUGGCACUGAGAUACGGGCCAGACUCCUACGGGAGGCAGCAGUAGGGAAUAUUGGUCAAUGGGUGAGAGCCUGAACCAGCCAUGCCGCGUGCAGGAAGACGGCCUUCUGGGUUGUAAACUGCUUUUAUCUGGGGAUAAAAAGCCCAUGCGUGGGACAUUGAAGGUACCAGAUGAAUAAGCACCGGCUAACUACGUG